rnacentral:rRNA from 1 species
UGCCAGACUCCUACGGGAGGCAGCAGUGGGGAAUAUUGCACAAUGGGCGAAAGCCUGAUGCAGCGACGCCGCGUGAGUGAAGAAGUAUUUCGGUAUGUAAAGCUCUAUCAGCAGGGAAGAAAAUGACAGUACCUGGACAAGAAGCCCCGGCUAACUACGUGCCAGCAGCCGCGGUAAUACGUAGGGGGCAAGCGUUAUCCGGAAUUACUGGGUGUAAAGGGAGCGUAGACGGUGAAGUAAGUCUGGAGUGAAAGGCGGGGGCCCAACCCCCGGACUGCUCUGGAAACUAUUUGACUGGAGUGCAGGAGAGGUAAGCGGAAUUCCUAGUGUAGCGGUGAAAUGCGUAGAUAUUAGGAGGAACACCAGUGGCGAAGGCGGCUUACUGGACUGUAACUGACGUUGAGGCUCGAAAGCGUGGGGAGCAAACAGGAUUAGAUACCCGUGUA